CACCCAGAGCCAUACCGUCCCCUACAGAAGUCUUUACAGCACAGCCUCUCACCAUGGACUGGAGCUGGAUAGCCCUCUUCCUGGUGGCAGUGGCAACAGGUGUCCAGUCCCAGGUGCAGCUGGUGCAGUCUGGGUCUGAGUUGAAGAGACCUGGUUCCUCAGUGAAGGUCUCCUGCAAGACUUCUGGAUACACUUUCACCAGCUACUAUAUGCACUGGGUACGACAGGCCCCAGGACAAGGGCUGGAGUGGAUGGGACGAAUCGACCCUGAAGAUAGUGAAACAAAGUACGCCCAGAAGUUCCAGGGCAGAGCCACCAUAACUGCAGAUAUUUCCACAACCACAGCCUACAUGGAGCUGAGUAACCUGAGAGCUGAGGACACGGCAGUGUAUUACUGUGCUACAGACACAGUGAUCGAAAGUUAA